rnacentral:pre_miRNA from 9 species
AGAAACAGACAGACAAAGACUGGGAACAGGCAGUGCAUGGAUGGGGCUACUAACAGAAAACAUCUGUUUUGGCUCUACCCCUGCACUGCCUCUUCCCUGGCUUCCGGUUCUUCUUUUUGU